AUCGGGUUCGGUAGAAAACUCCUUCAAACGGAUGAUGGUAACGAAGAAUCAAAUGGCAAUCAUGAGACGGGAGGGAUUUCGGAAGAAUCAGAAGAUUCAAGUGAGAAUUCAUCAGAAUCAGGUGAAGAAUCUACUACCCCUGGGGACCUGCCUGAUGGUAAAUAACAGGCAUCCUUAUCAGCGGAACUGGGUUAUGAUUCAGUAUUUGGAUUACCAACACUAUUCCUGAUUUCCAUGAAUAAAAAUUAAAACAUA